GUAGUAUGUGUGAGAAGGGGAAGAAGUUUCUACCUAGAUAGUCCUUGAUCUUGAGGAGUAGAAACAUGAGUAUCCAAUAAACCAGUACUACUCUCAAAUUUGUGAUCGUCUUGGACAUUCAGCACUGAAACACAAAAUAGAUGCAUACUAGUGUAAACAAUUGCAACUAAAACUUUCAAAGAUAUAAUGAUCCAAGUAUACCUUGGAGUUGGGCUCAAAUUUUUACUACAAUUUUCCUAGAACUGUAAGAGAUGUUGAGGGCACGGUAGUAGGCCUGACUUCAAGGCUAGAGCCACAACUUCCUCUGCUCUACUGUUCCCUACCAUCAUUUUAAGCCACUCGACAAGAUUAACCUGCCACAGACACAAUUAUUGAUAUUGUUACUCGAAGGGGGUGGCCAGCUUCCCGGUCACUCUGUCUGGAGUGGCAUACAUCCCGAUUUACUAAGAAUUUACUAGCUAUGCUUAUCGAAUAUAAGUAAUUAAAUUAGCACCUCAUUGGCUNAAGGUGGAGAGAAUGCAGUCUGUGUCUGCUCCAACAGCAGGCACAAAAGAUUUACUGGCACCACCGAAUAGAGAACCUCUUGUGAAUUAUUCGCAGAUGGAUUACUGGUUGAUGAACUGAGUCCAGAAGUCAUAUUUCCAUAACUUGAUAGCCCGAAUGAUACAAAAUUGGUAGUAGUUCUUCCGGAACUUAGAUUAGCAAAAACAUCCAGCAAGCUGCACAUGUAGUAAACGGAAUUUAGAUUGUAUUCUCAUAGAAAUCAAUGUCAUCAACAAUGAGUAAAAGAACAGAACUUGCAAACAGUUGGAAAUCAUUUUCUAGUCUGUAUGCAUAGAACUAACCUGCUAGAGUUUUCUUGUAUACCGGGUCCGGUGCUUGAUUUGGGCAUCAAGGAAGGGAACUUAUCUACAAUAUGAAACACUUUGAAUGAACUAGAAGGAUUCCAAAUACUGAGCUGAAUAAAAUAUAAUUAUAUACACACAUAAAAGUUCAAUCUCCUUACCUACAGAGCACUCAUUCUAAAUGCUGCUCUGUUUUGAGGUUGAGACAAACCAUUUUCGACAUCAUCUGAAGUUCGAUCUCUCACCAAAACAGCUUCAAAGGACACUGCAGAGUCACUGUUAUUUACAGGGUAGUAUGUAUGAGUAUCCAAUAAACCAGUACUACUCUCAAAUUUUUGAUCGUCUUGGACAUUCAGCACUGAAACACAAAAUAGAUGCAUACUAGUGUAAACAAUUGCAACUAAAACUUUCAAAGAUAUAAUGAUCCAAGUAUACCUUGGAGUUGGGCUCAAAUUUUUCACAAUUUUCCAGAACUGUAAGAGAUGUUGAGGGCACGGGUAGUAGGCCUGACUUCAAGGCUAGAGCCCACAACUUCCUCUGCUCUACUGUUCCCUACCAUCAUUUUAAGCCACUCGACAAGAUUAACCUGCCACAGACACAAUUAUUGAUAUUGUUACUCGAAGGGGGUGGCCAGCUUCCCGGUCACUCUGUCUGGAGUGGCAUACAUCCCGAUUUACUAAGAAUUUACUAGCUAUGCUUAUCGUAUAUAAGUAAUUAAAUUAGCACCUCAUUGGCUGGACGUGUGUAAUCUACUGGAUCUCUUCCGGUGACAGCUUCAAGAAGUAGAACACCAAAACUGUAUAUGUCGCUUUUUUCAUUCAGCAAGUCAGUAUUUGCAUAUUCAGGAGCCACGUAACUGAAAUUAACAAAAGCACCUGAUUAUUAUGAGGGAAAACUACAAUAAAAAAAAUAUCAGAAAUUCAAAAGGCAAAUAUACCCAAAAGUUCUCAUCAGUCAUCACCCUUGUUGUUAUAUGGCUUUCCCCAGAUUCCAGCAGCUCAGCCAAACCAAAACCGUACCAAUUCUCUGAAAUUUACCAAACCCAAAACAAGAAUAAUAAGCGCAAUAAAUUCUAAGAUGGAUGUAAGAGCAAAUAAACUUAUAUUGUGCAAGUUAUCUUUGAUUGUGGAGUGCGAACCAUGAUAUAAAUGAUUUUGCAAGCUGGAAUACUCAUGCUCAUUAGGAGAACUCUAAUGUUGUAAUUUGACAACAAUAAGAACUGAAAGGCGCAAUUUUCAGUAGGAAAGAAAGACUACUAGUGCCAUCCCAUAGAACUAGACCUUGUUCAUUAUUGGUUAAUGAAGAACCUUGCAAAUGACCAUUCCUACUUUCUUCACCGCCUGGUUACUAACUAAAUAAUUAAGAAAAUAGACACUCUACCAAUUCACAACUCAAAAUCACCAACAAGAGUUAAUUUAAAAUCCGAGCAAAUAAAUCCUGUUUUAUGACUUCAAUUUUUCAAACAACACGAAAUAAAUAAUUUCACAUCCACAUUAACACAUAGAAAGCAGAUCAACGCUCGGAGAAACUUACAACAAAAGCCACCAAAAAAAAACUUAACAAACAUCAAUUUCCACACUCAAAGCGCCCCAAAUUACCAUAAAGAAGAAGAGCCUCCGAUUCGGAAAUCGAGAGUG
rnacentral:lncRNA from 1 species